rnacentral:tRNA from 1 species
GAGGGUAUAACUCAGUUGGUUUAGAGUAACACGCUGAUACCGUGUAAGUCAUAGGUUCAAGUCCUAUUACCCUCA